ACCAGCAAUGCAUAGAAAUGGAUGCAAAUGCAAGAAGUCUCAAUGUUCAAAAGCAUACUGUGUUUGUUUACAGGCUGGUGUUGGCUGCUUGAAUUGUGAAUGUCAAGACUGUAAUAACCCUCGUGGAGCAAAAGUACCUUCAGAAGUGAAAACUGAAGCAGAAGAG